UAGGGAAUCUUCGGCAAUGGACGAAAGUCUGACCGAGCAACGCCGCGUGAGUGAAGAAGGUUUUCGGAUCGUAAAACUCUGUUGUUAGAGAAGAACAAGGACGUUAGUAACUGAACGUCCCCUGACGGUAUCUAACCAGAAAGCCACGGCUAACUACGUGCCAGCAGCCGCGGUAAUACGUAGGUGGCAAGCGUUGUCCGGAUGUAUUGGGCGUAAAGCGAGCGCAGGCGGUUUCUUAAGUCUGAUGUGAAAGCCCCCGGCUCAACCGGGGAGGGUCAUUGGAGACUGGGAGACUUGAGUGCAGAAGAGGAGAGUGGAAUUCCAUGUGUAGCGGUGAAAUGCGUAGAUAUAUGGAGGAACACCAGUGGCGAAGGCGGCUCUCUGGUCUGUAACUGACGCUGAGGCUCGAAAGCGUGGGGAGCAAACAGG
rnacentral:rRNA from 1 species